CCCUUAGAUGUCCUGGGCCGCACGCGCGCUACACUGACAUGUUCAACAAGCCUCCUAGUUCGACAGGAUUUGGGAAAUCUUUGAACGCAUGUCGUGAUAGGGAUAGAUCAUUGCAAUUAUUGAUCUUGAACGAGGAAUUCCUAGUAAACGCGAGUCAUCAGCCCGCAUUGAUUACGUCCCUGCCCUUUGUACACACCGCCCGUCGCACCUACCGAUUGAAUGUUUCGGUGAAGAUUCCGGAUAGGACUUUUUUGAUUUAUUUCAAUUCUGUCUUAAAAGCUAUCUAAACCUCAACAUUUAGAGGAAGGUGAAGUCGUAACA
rnacentral:rRNA from 1 species